GGCCCCGUAGCUCAGUUGGUUAGAGCGCCGCCCUGUCACGGCGGAGGCCGCCGGUUCAAGUCCGGUCGGGGUCG
rnacentral:tRNA from 4 species